rnacentral:antisense_RNA from 1 species
GGUGAGGUCACAACAUAGGAAAGUUGCUUGGUGUAUAAUUAGUGUGGGGAGCACAGGAGGGUGGAUUACAAUGCACAGACAAAUUCUAAUCCAUAGUCUGUAAUUUGAGGGUUGGGUCAAUCAUAAUUUGGGUGCAAGCACACCUACUUCCUUUUUUAAUAAGGGAGAAUUUAGUUCUUGUUACCCACAAGAGUUCUCAAAGUAGAAAAUAAUAAACCAUGUUCUUGAAGCCAGUACUGAAUUAUCAAAGCUGAAGGAAGGGAAGCUAAAGAAAGAUUAGGCAACUUGGGGUACAAAUGGGUUCAAAAUCCUCUCCAUCAGUAUGCCAAGUCUCUGGAUACCAGUGACUUAUUUGCCCUGGGGUGAGAGAAAACUCCAUUUUCCAUCAAGCUGGAGAAGCAGCCUUCGUUUUCCAGCUAUGGAUAAGGCCACUUAUUAGGAGGACAACAAGAAGGUGGACCAUUAAGACAACAUGACACGUAAGGCAGGAGAAUCACUUGAACCUGGAAGGCGGAGAUUGCAGUGAACUGAGAUCACACCAAUGCACUCUAGCCUGGGCAACAGAGUGAGACUGUCUCAAAAAAGAAAAAAAACAAAGACAAUACGACAUACCUAGAUUCUAAUUCAACACAGAAAAUGCAAAACAAAUAAAUAAAUAAAAUAAACAUAAAACCAAA